rnacentral:sRNA from 1 species
AGCGGUUCCCGGUAACUCCUCGCGGUGUAUAACAGCAGUUCUUCCGAGAUUCUUCGUCAACAAUUUGCAUGCUAAUACAUUGUUCUUUUAAUAAUUAAUGAGGUAACCGAAAUGGCUACAGGUACAGUAAAGUGGUUUAACGAUAGUAAGGGUUAUGGAUUUAUCACACCGGCUGACGGCAGCCCUGAUGUGUUUGUUCAUCAUAAUUCCAUCAAGGCCGAGGGAUUCAAAUCAUUGGCCGAGGGUCAGAGUGUGAGCUUUGAUACCGAGAAAGGUCCUAAAGGCCCCAGUGCAACCAACGUGGUUGCGCAAUAGACCCAACCAGGCAGUUUUUUAGUCUGGAACAAAAACCCCGCCUAUGGCGGGGUUUUUUAU